rnacentral:lncRNA from 1 species
GAGCAACUGUUUCUACAGCGAAAGUGAGCUGAUGGUCACAGAAAACAUGCAGAAAUACACAAAGGUGGCCAAUAAGUACUUGAAAUGAUGCACAACCUCUGUCAUAAUUAAACACACAGGGUGAGUACAGUACAAUGAGAUAUUCUGAAAGAAAGAAAAACCAUUACUCAUGUCAUUUUUUAUCACAACUUUUAUUUUAGUCAAUAGUGACGACCUCUAGAGAGUAAGGGUGAAUUGCUAGAAGUGGAGGGAGGAGAAAGCUGGUUAAUUUUUCAUUGUGCACAUUUCUGUAUUUUUCUAACAUGAGGAUGUGUUAAUUUUAACUUUAUAAUUAGGACUAGGAAAAAACAUCCAAGUGUCCCUCACCUCCCACUGUGAAGAAAAUGAUGCAGAGAACGCAGAAAGUAGCUCACUGGGAUCACUAGGUAAAUGAAAUGUUUAUACAAAGUAACAAUAAGGGGAAGGGGGAUGCAAACAUUCAGAUCAAAACACUAUCCAAGACAUAAGGAAUUCAAACAACUCAACAGCCAAGAAACAAAUAUCCAAUUUAAGAAAUGGGUAAAGGUCCUGAAUAGACAUUUCUCCAAAGACAAUAUGUAAAUUACCAAUACUUAUAUGAAAAAAAUGCUCAACAUCACUAAUCAGGGAAAUGCAAAUCAAAACCACAAUGAGACAACACCUCACAUAGGACAGUUAUUAAAAAGAACAAAAGAGGGCCAGGAAUUUAGCUCAGUGGUUUCGCUGCCUGCUACACAAGCACAAGGACCCGAGUUUGAUCCCCGGUACCAAAAAAAAAAAGAAGACUCCAUUUUGGGAGGGGGUUGUGUAAGACUGAGACACAGAACAACUACAGAACAACUCUACUUUAGUGUUUCAGUGUUAUCCUCCCAGUGACUGGGUGACAGGCAGCCAUGGUAGUCAGCUGCAGAGAAGGUACAAGCUAGAUCAGGAAGGACAUGAUGCUGCUCUCCAUUAUGAGAAGCCAGACCCUGCAAGUGUGACUUUCAAAGGUGGCUGGAUCUGAAAGUGCUGGCAUUAGGUCCAUCAGUCUGUGAAUCCUUCACCCACUCCUUACAUCCAGUGAGACCAAUGGCCUGAUUGCUCUUCCCAUCUAUCAAUGUGAGCAAGGACAUACCUUGGCUUACAUAGCUGACACAUAGUCUGGGGUGUAAGAAAGAGGGGCCACCUCACAAACCCAUAGGUCAUGAAGCUAGGCAGAGAAAAUCAUGACUUGCCGGAGUCCAAGACUGCAGAUCUUGGAAGAAACCACUCAUUCAAAAAUAGAGGAAUUUCUUUUAACUCAGAUUUUAUUUCUCCUUCAUUGGUUUUUUGGGGCCUGGGGGUUUUGCUUUUUUCUUCUCCUUUUAACUUUUUCCUUUUGUUUUCCUUUAUUUUACUGUUCUUUUCUGUUACUUUCAUCUAACACCAUUAAUUUCCUUUGACUCAAAAGGAUUCUCUCACUUUUCUCUCAUCUUCCAAUGAUUUUUAAAAUUCUGCUUUUUUCAUUCUUUGGUUCUCCACCCCUUCCGUCUUUACUAUUAUAACAAUAGGGUUUAUGACUCUUUGGAUAGCUAGCUAACUAUAUUUUUACUAUUGGAUACUGUUUUAUUAUUAAUGGAGGAAUUGUUGUUGCAUUUAGUAGAUAUUUACUGUAUGUCAAUGUUUGGUUUGUCUUAGUGUUUACAGUAUACCCCAUCCAAGUUGUGGUUCAGAAUUCAUGGACUCAGAUUUUUCCUUAUAACCUAACUAAUAAUUGUUCAUGGAAACUCCCACAAUUUCGUGGAAACUGCAAAUAUUCUCCACCGUUGCUUUUUUUGGUGGGAGGUUUACAAGUAGCCAAUCUGAGAGCGUUACUCAGUUCUCCUUGCUGCCGACUGGCUGCUGCCAUUACCCAUUUCAGGCAUAUGCACCAGCAUUCUCGCAUAACAAGUUGCUGUACCACAUGUAACUAUCUUGAGUGUCCUCGGUUUUGUUCUUCUUAAAGCUCUAAGAUCCCUAACAUGCUGCCAAAACACCCUGUACUUCCUAAGCCUUCAUUAAUACAGUAUUUUAUUGAAUUAAAUUACAAAACUGUGGGAGACAUAACAUAUUUAGGGUUUAAACUAUAAAAAUAGGCAUUUAUAGGCAUUUUUCUGGCCAUACAUGAAAUUGUUUUUCCACAAUUUCCAAGUGCUCUAGGAAUGUAGCCUCUACAAAUUUCGAGGGUCCUCUGUAUACUAUAAUUAUAGAUCUCUUUUCUGUAGUUAAAGGUUCAUUAUUGGUUCUUAGAAUGUAUUAAUAGCCAGUUUGUCUUUGAUGCUAUUAUUGUUGCUGACUUCACUGCUAAUGCCAAGUGACUCAGUUGUUGUUAUUAACUGUUUAUCUCUGUACGUCAAUAUCUGGAUUGCCUUUGGGUCAUUAACAAUAUUGAAGAGAAUGACAGAUGUGUUACCAAUGAACUAUGAGCGGGCUACAUGGACAAGAAGUGCUCAUUUAAGGAGAACUCUAUUUCUGGACAUGUGAGAAUGGGGACAGUGGCUCUACAGGAAAUGAAGUCACAAGAAAUUCAGGCCAGAAUAAGGUAUUUAGAGAGUUAUGACAAUGUUCCAGAAGAAGAUGACAUGACUGUAUUUAAGUAAAUAUAAUUUUUUGAACAUGAAUAAAUGAAUAUACAUUUUUGUACAUGAAGAAAUGUAGAUUGUUAUACAUGAAAAAGUAAGACACCCCCUGAAAAUAAGCCCUACUGCAUCUUGUGGAGCAAAACUUAAUAUAAGACUUGAGGUCUUAUUUCUGGGGAACUACAGUAAGAAAAACCCAUGUCAUGAUUCACUGCUGAAUUCUACAAGAACUUAAAGGAAGAUCUAAUGCCAGUACAUCUCAAACUCUUUAAUCAAAGUGAAAGGGAAGGAGUACUGAUCUCCAAACUUAUUCCUGGAAGCGACCAUUAUCCUGAUUCUAAAACCUGACAAAGACCGAGCCAAAAAAGAAAAGUACAGGUUAAUCCCUUUCAUGAACAUAGACACAAAAAUCCUCAAUAGGAUACUGGCAAGCAGAAUAGAACAAAUCAUCAAAAAGAUCACAUAUCAUACAUCAUACAAAGUAGGCUUCAUUACAGGGAUGCAGGAUGGUUCAACAUAUGUAAAUCAAUAAAUGCAACACAUGAGAUAAACAGAAGGAAAAAAUCACAUGAUCAUCUCAAUUGGCACAGAAAAAGCCUUUGACAAAAUCCAACAUCCAUUCAUGAUAUAAUAAAUAUGAAUAGGUAUAGAAUACAUAUAAUGAUAUGAAGAAUAGGUGGAGAAUGUCAGUAUCUCAAUCUAAUAAAAGACACUUAUGACAAACCUGUCAACAACAUAUUGAAUGGGAGGAAAGCCAGGUAUAGUGACACACAUCUGUAAUUACAGCUCUUGGGACUGAGACAGGAGGAUCACCACGAAUUUGAGGCCAGUUUGAACUAGGAUAGUUAAGUUCAAGACCAGUCUGAACUACACAGUAAAACCUUGUCUCAAAGGGGUCGGGGGUGGAGGGUGGAGGGAGAGAAAGCUUUCCCUCUAAAAUCAGAAACAGAUGUCCUGGUGGCACAGGCCUGUAAUCUUAGCACUUGGGAGCCUGAGGCAAGAGGACUGCCACAAGUUCAAGGCUAGCCUGG